UACGGAGGGAGCUAGCGUUGUUCGGAAAUACUGGGCGUAAAGCGCACGUAGGCGGCGCAGCAAGUCAGGGGUGAAAUCCCGGGGCUCAACCCCGGAACUGCCUCUGAAACUGCAGUGCUAGAAUCUUGGAGAGGCGAGUGGAAUUCCGAGUGUAGAGGUGAAAUUCGUAGAUAUUCGGAAGAACACCAGUGGCGAAGGCGACUCGCUGGACAAGUAUUGACGCUGAGGUGCGAAAGCGUGGGGAGACAA
rnacentral:rRNA from 1 species